AAACGUAGGAGGCUAGCGUUAUCCGGAUUUAUUGGGCGUAAAGCGCGUGCAGGCGGUCUAUCAAGUUGGAUGUGAAAGCUCCUGGCUUAACUGGGAGAGGUCGUUCAAAACUGAUAGUCUCGAGAAUGGUAGAGGGAGGUGGACUUCCGGGUGUAGUGGUGAGAUGCGUAGAUAUCCGGAGGAACACCAGUGGCGAAAGCGGCCUCCUGGGCCAUUUCUGACGCUAAGACGCGAAAGCUAGGGUAGC
rnacentral:rRNA from 1 species